UACGUAGGGUGCAGGCGUUAAUCGGAAUUACUGGGCGUAAAGCGUGCGCAGGCGGCUCCUUAAGUCAGAUGUGAAAGCCCCGGGCUUAACCUGGGAACUGCGUCUGAGACUGGCAAGCUUGAGUGCAGGAGAGGAACGCGGAAUUCCAGGUGUAGCGGUGAAAUGCGUAGAUAUCUGGAGGAACACCGGUGGCGAAGGCGGCGUUCUGGACUGUAACUGACACUGAUGAACGAAAGCCAGGGGAGCAAACGGG
rnacentral:rRNA from 1 species